rnacentral:rRNA from 1 species
GAACGCUGGCGGCAUGCCUAACACAUGCAAGUCGAACGAGACCUUCGGGUCUAGUGGCGCACGGGUGCGUAACGCGUGGGAACCUGCCUUUAGGUUCGGAAUAACUCAGAGAAAUUUGAGCUAAUACCGGAUGAUGUCUUCGGACCAAAGAUUUAUCGCCUUUAGAUGGGCCCGCGUUGGAUUAGCUAGUUGGUGGGGUAAAGGCCUACCAAGGCGACGAUCCAUAGCUGGUCUGAGAGGAUGAUCAGCCACACUGGGACUGAGACACGGCCCAGACUCCUACGGGAGGCAGCAGUGGGGAAUAUUGGACAAUGGGCGAAAGCCUGAUCCAGCAAUGCCGCGUGAGUGAUGAAGGCCUUAGGGUUGUAAAGCUCUUUUACCCGAGAUGAUAAUGACAGUAUCGGGAGAAUAAGCUCCGGCUAACUCUGUG